rfam:Parcubacteria (Nomurabacteria) bacterium GW2011_GWA1_46_11 TX31_C0001, whole genome shotgun sequence.
AAGUUAUUAAGAGUAUGGUGAGAGCACUGGCUCAAUGACCCAUCAGCAACCUAUCAGGUGGAUAAAUGACAAGGUGCUAAUUCCAGCCCGUAAAGGGAGAAAUAAUAC